AUGUUAACAUCUAGGGGCUUUGGAGCUAAAUGGAUUCGGUGGAACCUCUCAAUUUUGCUACAAAGCUCUUUCAGUGUCAAGAUUAAUGAUGUCCUAGGCCCUUACUUUGUAGGGGGGAAGGGGCUAAAACAAGGAGACCCAAGCUCCCCGAUGCUUUUCAACUUGGUAGCUGAUGUAUUUUCUCGUAUGCUGGUUAAAGUUGUCAACAAUAACAUAAUUGCUGGGAUUGUUCCCCAUAUCAUCCCACAGGGGCUGAUAUGUUUGCAGUACGCUGAUGACACAAUCCUUUUCCUAAAUCCCAAACCUGAGUAUGUUAGAAACUUAAAAUGGCUACUAGCUUGUUUUGAAAACCUGUCUGGGUUAAAAAUUAAUUAUGACAAGUGUGAAGUGGUUCCAAUUAAUAUGAAUGAAGAUGAUGCUAAACUUUUAUCCCAAAUUUUCUGCUGUAAGUUGGGGGAUUUCCCCCUUAAAUAUCUUGGGGUUCCUCUACACUACCUAAAGCUGAGGAGGGAAGAUAUCUAG
rnacentral:rRNA from 1 species